rnacentral:rRNA from 1 species
UACCAAAAACAUUGCUCCUUGAAAAAUACUAAAUAAGGAGUACUGCCUGCCCAGUGACAAAAGUUAAACGGCCGCGGUAUUUUGACCGUGCAAAGGUAGCAUAAUCAUUUGUUCUUUAAUUGAGGACUAGUAUGAAAGGCAACACGAAAGCUUAACUGUCUCCCCCCUGAAAAAAGAAAUUAUUAUCUUCGUGAAGAAACAAAGAUAAAAACGCAAGACGAGAAGACCCUGUCGAGCUUAAGAAAAUUUUUAUAGAAUUAAAACACAGAUAAUUUAUAUACUAAAAACCAAAUAAAAAUAUCUUUGGUUGGGGCAACCACGAAGAAAAAAAAACCUUCGAUUAAAAAAAGAAAUAAACAAAUUUAAAAAUUUUUAAAAUUUUAAAGAUCCAGAAAAUACUGAUCAAAGGAAAAAGUUACCGCAGGAUAACAGCGUUAUUCUCUUUAAGAGUUCAUAUUGACAAGAGAGUUUGCGACCUCGAUGUUGGACCGGGACACCCCAGAGGUGCAACAGCCUCUAAAGGUAGGUCUGUUCGACCUUUAAAGCCCUACGCGAUCUGAGUUC